GUGCAAAGGUAGCAUAAUCAUUUGUUUUUUAAUUGAAAACUGGAAUGAAAGGUUUAAUAAAAAAAAUAUUUAUUGUAUCUAAAGUUUGAAAUUUAUGGAAGRAUAAAAAAGUUCUUAUAAAUCUAGGGGACGAUAAGACCCUAUUAAGCUUUAAAUAAAUUUAAGAGGUUAACAAAAAGUUUAGAAUAUUAUAUUUUACUGGGGUGGUAAAUGAAAUUUAUAUAAAAAAAAUUAGAUCCAUUAUUAAUGACAAAUAGAUUAAGUUACUAUAGGGAUAACAGCAUAAUUCUUUUUAAGAGUUCUUAUCAAUGAAAGAGAUUAUGACCUCGAUGUUGAAUU
rnacentral:rRNA from 1 species